rnacentral:lncRNA from 1 species
AAGUUCUGGGAGCCCAGAUGCUCAGACUUUCCCACCGCAGUGCCCCUAGUGGCAGAAGAUAAGAAUGCAGGUGGCUGGACUCUAAAGAGACAACAAAGAAAGAAGCAAUGGUUCUGGAGUCACCCCCAGAAAAGACUUUAUGAACCAGAUGAAUAAUAUCUGGCAGGGACCAACUCUGGCUACCUCUCACACCGUCCCAAACCCUAACGCCCCAGGAUGGUCUUCACCUUCCAUCACAAUAUGAUUCCAGAAGCCUGGCUAGGACGGAAUGGAGAAACAACAGUUGGUGGUUUCCCAGGUCCCUUCUGGAAAGUCAGAGCGAGGCUGGCGUUGGCAACCUGACUGUCCUCAGGCACAGCAGCUGUUGUAACAACUGGUCUCAUCCGAGUCUCCAGCUUCACAACCCUGCCCAUGAAUCCAUUCAAGAUUCUCAGAGUUCACACCCGAGUUGUACUGUCACCACUCCUUUGUGAAAUUUGUCAAUCCAGAAUAAGCCAUUGGCGAGAGUCAGGAGAAAAUGAGAACGUGUGCCCAUAGUUUGGCGAAGAUGUUCUCUGCGGUGGCCUCGAGGCUGAAGGCUCCUGCGCCUCUCCCCAGCAGCCUUCCCUCUGCAUUGCCCCAGGAGCUGAGGGAGCAGGAGAGCUAAGGCAGGGACGGACAGAUGGACAGAUGGCAGGCGUCCUCAGCGUCCUUGAUCCUGGGCCACAGGUAGGACGCAGACAUGGCUCUCGUCUGCAUUCUGGGGCUUCGUUCUGCGGAACAGAAUGAAGAAAUCCACAACCGUCGGGGAGAGUGACAAGGGUCGACUUCUGGGAGUCCUUGCAGCUUGGGGGCUGCCCUGGCCCGAGAAGGCCUAUAAGG